CUUCCAGCCACUGCAGCAGGAUCCAGGCCGGGACCGCCCAGAAGAGCAGGACCGCGCCCGUGGCCGCUUCCGCAGGGCAGUUCAGAGGUUGCUGAGAUUCGUGGGAGUUCGGCGCAGAACAGCCACGACCGCACCGCCCGAGCUCACGGCACAGCCUGACACCAGCGCAGCCGAGCUCGAGGCGGAGCCUGAUGGGAGCAAUGCAACGAGUGACUGUGCAGCCAGUGGUGACCUGGCACCAAUAGAGGGCACAGAAACCUCUGACAUGGCACCA